rnacentral:rRNA from 1 species
GGCUCAGGACGAACGCUGGCGGCGUGCUUAACACAUGCAAGUCGAGCGGAAAGGCCCUUCGGGGUACUCGAGCGGCGAACGGGUGAGUAACACGUGAGCAAUCUGCCUUUAGCUUUGGGAUAACCCUCGGAAACGGGGGCUAAUACCGAAUAUUCAUUGACUGUCGCAUGGUGGUUGGUGGAAAGUUUUUCGGCUAGAGAUGAGCUCGCGGCCUAUCAGCUUGUUGGUGGGGUAAUGGCCUACCAAGGCGACGACGGGUAGCCGGCCUGAGAGGGCGACCGGCCACACUGGGACUGAGACACGGCCCAGACUCCUACGGGAGGCAGCGGUGGGAAUAUUGCACAAUGGGCGAAAGCCUGAUGCAGCGACGCCGCGUGAGGGAUGACGGCCUUCGGGUUGUAAACCUCUUUCAGCAGGGACGAAGCGCAAGUGACGGUACCUGCAGAAGAAGCGCCGGCCAACUACGUGCCAGCAGCCGCGGUAAGACGUAGGGCGCAAGCGUUGUCCGGAUUUAUUGGGCGUAAAGAGCUCGUAGGCGGCUUGUUGCGUCGACUGUGAAAACCCGCGGCUCAACCGUGUGGUCUGCAGUCGAUACGGGCAGGCUAGAGUUCGGUAGGGGAGACUGGAAUUCCUGGUGUAGCGGUGAAAUGCGCAGAUAUCAGGAGGAACACCGGUGGCGAAGGCGGGUCUCUGGGCCGAUACUGACGCUGAGGAGCGAAAGCGUGGGGAGCGAACAGGAUUAGAUACCCUGGUAGUCCACGCUGUAAACGUUGGGCGCUAGGUGUGGGGGGCCUCUCCGGUUCUCUGUGCCGCAGCUAACGCAUUAAGCGCCCCGCCUGGGGAGUACGGCCGCAAGGCUAAAACUCAAAG